rnacentral:rRNA from 1 species
UACGUAGGGGUCGAGCGUUGUCCGGAGUUACUGGGCGUAAAGCGUGCGCAGGUGGCUCAUUGCGCCCGGCGUGAAAGCCCCCGGCUCAACCGGGGAGGGUCGUCGGGGACGGGUGAGCUUGAGGGUAUCAGGGGCUGGUGGAACUCCCGGUGUAGUGGUGAAAUGCGUAGAGAUCGGAAGGAACACCAGUGGCGAAGGCGGCUACCUGGCCUAAUACUGACACUGAGGCACGAAAGCGUGGGGAGCAAACAGG